rnacentral:antisense_RNA from 1 species
AUGGUGGCUCAGGCGGGGCAGCCUUCGGGCUGGCCGGUAUCCAUUGAGGCCGGUAUUCCUACCCCCGUCUGGGCUACCACCCAUAAGUGUAGGAACUUCGGUGGUAGCAAUAACCAUUACUCAAUGGAGGCUGCCACCAUGGCUACGACCCUCACCCCGACUCAUCCUGAAUUCUGUUUCCUGUUUGCGGCCAUUCGCCGUACUGCCCUGACGGCAACCCCGUGCAUGCUGCGCACCGUGGCAAAUUCCGAGCACAACGCCCGCCGCCUGCUGGCGCGUGACUACAUUCUGUCGUUUGCGGGCCGUCUGCCUGUGCAGGGGGUGGCAUGA